UUGCAGCUAAUUAAGCUGACCAGGUCCCUUUCCCCAGGGGGGCCUGGUGUGCAGUGGUUGCAAACAGCAGUGUCCUUGGUAGUGUAUGCAGCCUGCUGCCUGUGAGGGCUGCCCCAAGGGACCUUGGAGACAAUU
rnacentral:snoRNA from 1 species